CUCUUUUUUACCCCUUUAAAUCUAAUCGUCCAAAACAAAGAAAACCCUAACCUAAUCAAACCCACUCACUCAUCACUCAUCAUCAGAACUGUAUCUAUCUAUCUCCUCUCUUCCUCUCGGUCUCUCUCUCACUCUCACUCGCGAUUUUCAUCUGUGCACUCACUCAACGAUCGAAUCUCUCUCUCACAAGAUCGACCGAUCGAUCGACCUCAUCGCACACAGUCUCUUACUCUCUGGUUUUGCAUCCACACCGAUCGGCUCUCUCUCACAGUUUAAAUGGAGGAUAGUAUUCAAUCUCCCGCAAUCAAUCUUGUACCUCCGGAAUCCUCUAAUUCUCAAAUGAAUCCCCUCUUAGUCGAACCCAAACAUGAACCUGAACCUAAGCCUCCUAGACCCCCAAAGAGAAAGAGUGAGGGUGGAGGGGGGAGAGCACCAUCCACAGUUUGGGAUCAUUUUGACAAGGUUGUAGGGACCGAUGGGAAGCG